AGCUGCCUGCAGACUGGUUUGAUUGUCCUGAGCUUUGACUUGCAUCAAAAUGAGCAAGGGACAAUCAUUUACACACACAGCUUGAAAGGCAGUUAACUCAAAUUAGGCAUGAUUGUCCCAG